GCGCGUUGUGCCGCUGAGCAGGGAUUACGUAUCGGGAAUAGACGCCUUCUAUUGACCUGAUCACCUUGCCAAGGUGAGGGUCGCGGGUUCGAGUCCCGUCGUCCGCU
rnacentral:tRNA from 1 species